rnacentral:rRNA from 1 species
UACGGAGGGAGCUAGCGUUGUUCGGAAUUACUGGGCGUAAAGCGCACGUAGGCGGCUACUCAAGUCGGAGGUGAAAGCCCGGGGCUCAACCCCGGAACUGCCUUUGAAACUAGGUAGCUAGAAUCUUGGAGAGGUCAGUGGAAUUCCGAGUGUAGAGGUGAAAUUCGUAGAUAUUCGGAAGAACACCAGUGGCGAAGGCGACUGACUGGACAAGUAUUGACGCUGAGGUGCGAAAGCGUGGGGAGCAAACAGG